rnacentral:rRNA from 1 species
GGGCGGAGCGGGGCGAAGCCUGAUCCAGCAAUGCCGCGUGCAUGAUGAAGGCCUUAGGGUUGUAAAACAGCUUCAUACAGAACGAAGGAGCUCCUUCUAAUACAGGGGGCCCAUGACGGUACCGUAAGAAUAAGCACCGGCUAACUACGUGCCACAGCCGCGGUAA